rnacentral:rRNA from 1 species
AUUGAACGCUGGCGGCAUGCUUUACACAUGCAAGUCGAACGGCAGCGCGGGCUUCGGCCUGGCGGCGAGUGGCGAACGGGUGAGUAAUACAUCGGAACGUGCCCAGUAGUGGGGGAUAGCUCGGCGAAAGCCGGAUAAUACCGCAUACGACCUGAGGGUGAAAGCGGGGGAUCUUCGGACCUCGCGCUAUUGGAGCGGCCGAUGGCAGAUUAGCUAGUUGGUGGGGUAAAGGCCUACCAAGGCGACGAUCUGUAGCUGGUCUGAGAGGACGACCAGCCACACUGGGACUGAGACACGGCCCAGACUCCUACGGGAGGCAGCAGUGGGGAAUGUUGGACAAUGGGCGAAAGCCUGAUCCAGCAAUGCCGCGUGUGUGAUGAAGGCCUUCGGGUUGUAAAGCACUUUUGGCGGGAACGAAAAGGACUGUGCCAAUACCACGGUUCGAUGACGGUACCCGCAGAAUAAGCACCGGCUAACUACGUG